GUGCUCGCUUCAGCAGCACCUAUACUAAAAUUUGAACAAUACAGAGAAGGUUAGCAUGGCCCUUGCGCAAGGAUGACUUGGAAAAAAAAAAGUCUUCAAGUUUAU
rnacentral:snRNA from 1 species